GUGGGGAAUAUUGGACAAUGGGCGCAAGCCUGAUCCAGCCAUGCCGCGUGAGUGAUGAAGGCCUUAGGGUUGUAAAGCUCUUUUAGCGGGGAAGAUAAUGACGGUACCCGCAGAAAAAGCCCCGGCUAACUACGUGCCAGCAGCCGCGGUAAUACGUAGGGGGCAAGCGUUGUCCGGAUUUACUGGGUGUAAAGGGUGCUCAGGCGGAUUUGUAAGUCAGAGGUGAAAUCUUACAGCUUAACUGUGAAACUGCCUUUGAUACUGCAAGCCUAGAGUAUGGAAGAGAGUGAUGGAAUAUCUGGUGUAGCAGUGAAAUGCGUAGAUAUCAGAUAGAACACCAAUGGCGAAGGCAGUCACUUGAUCCAUUACUGACGCUAAAGCACGAAAGCGUGGGUAGCAAACA
rnacentral:rRNA from 1 species